rnacentral:rRNA from 1 species
UACGUAGGGGGCAAGCGUUAUCCGGAAUUACUGGGUGUAAAGGGUGAGUAGGCGGUCGUCUAAGUCACAAGUGAAAGCCUGAGGCUCAACCUCAGCGAGCUUGAGAAACUGGAUGACUAGAGUGUGGGAGAGGUAAGUGGAAUUCCUAGUGUAGCGGUAAAAUGCGUAGAUAUUAGGAGGAACACCGGUGGCGAAGGCGACUUACUGGACCAAUACUGACGCUGAGUCACGAAAGCGUGGGGAGCAAACAGG